rnacentral:rRNA from 1 species
UGGGGAAUAUUGCACAAUGGAGGGAACUCUGAUGCAGCGACGCCGCGUGAACGAAGAAGGCUUUCGAGUCGUAAAGUUCUUUUAUAUGGGAAGAUAAUGACGGUACCAUAAGAAAAAGCCCCGGCUAACUACGUGCCAGCAGCCGCGGUAAUACGUAGGGGGCUAGCGUUGUCCGGAAUCACUGGGCGUAAAGGGUACGUAGGCGGGUAAGCAAGUUAGAAGUGAAAUCCUGUAGCUCAACUACAGUAAGCUUUUAAAACUGCUCAUCUUGAGAUAUGGAAGGGAAAGUGGAAUUCCUAGUGUAGCGGUGAAAUGCGCAGAUAUUAGGAGGAAUACCGGUGGCGAAGGCGACUUUCUGGCCAUAAUCUGACGCUGAGGUACGAAAGCGUGGGUAGCAAACAGG